rnacentral:tRNA from 1 species
GCCUUCGUGGUGUUGUGGUCAGCCCACUGGACGCGUAACCGAGAGGUCCGUGGUUCGAUUCCCGGCGAAGGCG